rnacentral:rRNA from 1 species
GACGAACCGUACGAGCGUUAUUCGGAAUUACUGGGCUUAAAGGGUGCGUAGGCUGUGCGGAAAGUUGGGCGUGAAAUACCUCAGCUUAACUGAGGAACUGCGUUCAAAACUACCGUGCUCGAGGGAGACAGAGGUAAGCGGAACUGAGGGUGGAGCGGUGAAAUGCGUUGAUAUCCUCAGGAACACCGGUGGCGAAAGCGGCUUACUGGGUCUCUUCUGACGCUGAUGCACGAAAGCUAGGGUAGCAAACGGG